rnacentral:rRNA from 1 species
UACGUAGGGCGCAAGCGUUGUCCGGAAUUAUUGGGCGGAAAGAGCUCGUAGGCGGCUUGUCACGUCGGAUGUGAAAGCCCGGGGCUUAACUCCGGGUCUGCAUUCGAUACGGGCUGGCUAGAGUGUGGUAGGGGAGAUCGGAAUUCCUGGUGUAGCGGUGAAAUGCGCAGAUAUCAGGAGGAACACCGGUGGCGAAGGCGGAUCUCUGGGCCAUUACUGACGCUGAGGAGCGAAAGCGUGGGGAGCGAACAGG